AUUGAACGCUGGCGGCAGGCUUAACACAUGCAAGUCGAACGAGUGGCGGACGGGUGAGUAAUGUCUGGGAAACUGCCCGAUGGAGGGGGAUAACUACUGGAAACGGUAGCUAAUACCGCAUACCAUCGGAUGUGCCCCGCUGGGAUUAGCUAGUAGGUGGGGUAACUGCUCACCUAGGCGACGAUCCCUAGCUGGUCUGUGAGGAUGACCAGCCACACUGUGACUGAGACACGGUCCAGACUGCUACGGUAGGCAGCAGUGGGGAAGAUUGCACAAUGGGCGCAAGCCUGAUGCAGCCAUGCCGCGUGUAUGAAGAAGGCCUUCGGGUUGUAAAGUACUUUCAGCGAGGAGGCGUUACUCGCAGAAGAAGCACCGGCUAACUCCGUGACAGCAGCCGCGGUAAUAC
rnacentral:rRNA from 1 species